GAAAAAACAAAUAAUACAUGCCAAACUAUUUAUUCUUAUAAGGAAAAACAGAAUUCCAUUUCUCAUAACCAUACAUUCCCCCCCUCCCCCUCUUUUCUCUCUUUUCUCCCAACCCCCAAUUUUCAAGUUGUAAGGAACCGAUAAGCAGCUGUGCAAAAUGAGGGAUCCUAUAGAAAUAAAAACCUAUGUAAUAAAUGAUAUGUGGUUUUAAUUCAUUAGUCAAGGUAUGCGACGUUAAGGAAAGUUAUGACAUAUUUUAAAGGGGCCAACAAAAUUCCUUUAUGAACAUCAAAUUUAAAAAGAUAACAAUCACGUUUACAUGGAAUAUAGAAUGUGGAAAGCAUAAGCAAUCACAUUUGAUCUUGAUAAGGUUUAAAGUUACUUGUGUUUCUUCUUUAAUUGUAAAGAUGAAGUUGGAGGACCUGCUCUCUUCUUGGUAAAUGCACUGGUUCUGCUUUCUAAAUCUCCAUCACUGUCUUCAUCAUCAUUGUCAUUGCCUCCUCCUCUUGUAGAUGGGAGGGACUCUUCAAUACUUUUGGUAGCUUUUCUUUUUCCAGCUUCCAACUUGGCAUGUAACUUUCUUUCAACAGGAUCAUUUAAGGGUCUAACUUUGGAUUGAAGCAGAACUUUCGCGCCAAGUCCAAGUCUAUCAGGACGGCCCUCUGGUUCUACUUCUGUUGUUUCAUCCUCUAUACCUUUACUCAUGUUAUUAACCCAUUGUUCAGCCAAUUUCAAUGCCUUUUCCAAUCUGACAAUUUGAUGAGCUCCAGGUUUUUUCUGUGUCUCCUUGCUCAUAGCUAACUCUUUCACUGCACUAAAAUACCAACCAUUACAAACAGUCAAUUUCUCAAACACAUGGCGUUCAAAGUAUACAAUAUUAUCACAUUAACGUAUAAUACAUAAAGGGCAACAACUUCGUCCAGAAAAUGAGGAUAACUAUUUUCAAUCAUGAAAUCCUCAUAAUACAUUAACAUGAUCUAAUAUUCUAGAGAAUAUUUAACUUCGUGAACAGAAUUGCUCCGCCCUAGAACAUAAAUGCUAAAUCAAUGUUCUUUCGUAAGAUUCAAAAGAGACAGAAAAUUAGUCACUGUAGGAUCAGUAAUGCCACUACAAUAAACAGAAUUGAGAAAAUCUUUUGUUGAACGAUUGUUACAUCGAAGAAUAUCAGUAACCCAAAUCGCUGAUUAUGUAAAACCCCAAUUGGACCCAAGGACCCAAAUCGUGUACAACGAAGGAGAGAAACAAGAAACUGAGUACUUAGUCAGUUACCUCGUUUGGCAGAACAGUGAGCAACAGAAACAAGGAGAGAAAGAGAGAGAAAUUAUCUGUGAAGCUUUGGUGCAACUUCGUGCGAUUGGCCUAUACCAAGUGUUUGAGACGUCUACGGCGAGGCUGGAAGUUCUGGAGGUUUCGGCCACAACGAGGGGCGGAGGCUAUUAGAAGGUUAGAACCGGGUGUUCAAUGGUUAAUUAUCCCAACGGAUUCCAACCCGACCCCUU
rnacentral:misc_RNA from 1 species